GACGCGGGGGAGAGGCGUUAGCGGAUGGAAGCAACAGUAUUUUGAUACCGCCGCGGGUAGAUGCGUGGGGCUCGUAUGUGACAUCGCACGUAGUGAAUGUGCAGGCUAGUGGUGCCCUGGAGAGACCACAGCGACACCACUAC